AAGUCGUAACAAGGUUUCCGUAGGUGAACCUGCGGAAGGAUCAUUAAUGAAAUGUUAGGACGCUCUUUUUAGAGGUCCGACCAACUCAUUUACCUUUCACACUGUGCACAUCACUACUUUUUUACACCCAUUUUUAAACACUUAAAAGUCUAAGAAUGUAAACCAGUCUCUUAACGGAGCAUAAACAUAAACAAAACUUUCAGCAACGGAUCUCUUGGCUCUCCCAUCG
rnacentral:misc_RNA from 1 species